UACGGAGGAUGCAAGCGUUAUCCGGAAUGAUUGGGCGUAAAGCGUCCGCAGGUGGCAAUGUAAGUCUGCUGUCAAAGCGUCUGGCUCAACCAGAUAAAGGCAGUGGAAACUACAUAGCUAGAGUAAGGUAGGGGUAGAGGGAAUUCCUGGUGUAGCGGUGAAAUGCGUAGAUAUCAAGAGGAACACCUGAGGCGAAGGCGGGUUGCUAGGCUGACACUGACGCUGAUGCGCGAAAGCCAGGGGAGCAAACGGG
rnacentral:rRNA from 1 species